rnacentral:rRNA from 1 species
UACGAAGGGGGCUAGCGUUGCUCGGAAUUACUGGGCGUAAAGCGCACGUAGGCGGAUUGUUAAGUCGGGGGUGAAAUCCUGGAGCUCAACUCCAGAACUGCCUUCGAUACUGGCGAUCUCGAGUUCGGGAGAGGUGAGUGGAACUGCGAGUGUAGAGGUGAAAUUCGUAGAUAUUCGCAAGAACACCAGUGGCGAAGGCGGCAUCCGUGGACCGCAUUGGACGCUGAGGAGCGAAAGCUAGGGAGCAACGGGGAUUAAGAAACCC